rnacentral:lncRNA from 1 species
GGACAUGGCAUGGAACGUGUGUGCGGAAAAGUUCGAACAUCAAGUGACCCUUGAAGCGCUACAACACUUAAAUGCACUCUUUCAGGAGUAUGAGAAAAGAGGAAGACAGCUGUUGGAUAUGGAGACUUUCAAAUGCAUAAUGAAGCAGAGCAUGAGGUUACAGAAUAAAAGUACUGAACAAAUAGAACAACUUUUCAUGAAAAUAGACUAUGAAGCAGUGGGCAGAAUUCAUUGGGAUGGCUUCUGCACAUAUCUGCAGUUAGCAUAUUCAGAGCAAGCUGAUGCUUUGGCUCGACAGAAAGAGGUUUCCUUCCAGCUGCCUGCUGUGCUGCAGGGACUGUCGUACGGGGGACCCGUGCUGCGCAUUCUCUCUGUGCCUGAUGACACCUUAAUCAUGAUCAGAGAAGAUGGAGCCAUUUAUUUCUGGUCCCUGCAGCUGAAGUUGAAAAGAAGAAAGCGAGUUUUUGACAAGCCCAUCAUUCGGAAGCGCCGGUGGGUGACGGAUGCCACCAGCAUGCCACAGUACAACAAACUGAUCCUAGGAACUGGAAACCGCGAAAUCCAGCUGUAUGAGUUCUCUAACUUGGAGCCUUACUGUCAGAUUGGUGGCCUGGAAGCUGUCCCUCUGAAACUGGACUACUGGUACGAGGAUCCUGACAAGUGCCUGAUUCUCUAUGGUGAUGACCAGGGAUGUGUGAACAUUCUGUUUUUGGCUUCUGUCGGUGAACUAUUAAGGGGACGUCACACCCCAGGUCCCUCUCAUGGGGGAGGUCACACUCCAGAUCCCUUUCAGAGGAAGUCACAUACCACACCUCCCAUCCUCAGGGAAGAAGUCACUCCAGGUCAAGUGUGCUGUUACUCUUGGUGGCUGAGGGUCCCCAGGAGGCAGCCGUCUCAGUCCUAUCACAGUGACACUCUGGAGCCAGAAGCAUGGAGGUGA